UCCCUCUUAGCUCAGUGGUAGAGCGCGUCACUAGUACACAAUCAGUGUAUGACGAGGUCAGUCGUUCAAGUCGGCUAGAGGGAA
rnacentral:tRNA from 1 species